rnacentral:rRNA from 1 species
ACUCAAAGGAAUUGACGGGGGCCCGCACAAGCGGUGGAGCAUGUGGUUUAAUUCGAUGCUACGCGAAAAACCUUACCUGGGUUUGACAUCCCGCGCUACCCUAUGAAAGUAGGGGUUCCCUUCGGGGACGCGGAGACAGGUACUGCAUGGCUGUCGUCAGCUCGUGUUGUGAGAUGUUGGGUUAAGUCCCGCAACGAGCGCAACCCUCGUCACUAGUUGCCAGCAUUAAGUUGGGCACUCUAGUGAGACCGCUUGGCUAUAAGCCAGAGGAAGGUGGGGAUGACGUCAAGUCCGCAUGGUCUUUAUAUCCAGGGCAACACACGUGCUACAAUGGGAGGCACAGAGCGUCGCAAGCCAGCGAUGGCAAGCUAAUCGCAAAAAACCUCUCUCAGUUCGGAUAGGAGUCUGCAAUUCGACUCCUUGAAGCUGGAAUCGCUAGUAAUCGAGGAUCAGCACGCCUCGGUGAAUACGUUCCCGGGCCUUGUACACACCGCCCGU